UGUACAAGGAAAUCGGAUUUCUUCCAUGGUAGCGUGCCGCCGAUAACUUUGCAACUGCUGAUGUGAAAACAUAUUUGUUGACUGCUAUUAGUGGAGGCUUAAACCAGCAAAGAAGAGGGCUGGGCCAGAAAUUAUUUUGGAAGGAUUCCAGGUCAUUUUCACCAUAUCACAGAUACAAAACUACUGUGAAGGUCCAUGUAAGCAAAACUGUCUGUGGAUUAAUAUUGUUAUUCGGGUAUUUGGUGCAGCAACUUUGAUGAAAUCUUUGAUGUAGACUGGUUUAUAUAAUCUCUAUCAAAAUAUGUUGAAAUCAUUAA